CAUUUACGACCAACCACACCGAUUUCUUUUCAUUUAAUUACCUCCUCUUUAGUUGCUGCUCAGCUUCCAGGUCCCCAAUUCCAGGCCUCCGGGAACCAACCACCCCCUGCCCUUUCCCACCCUCUGCCCAGAGGAAUCUUCCCUUCUUGUCGUGUAAAGGUUGCUCCUUUCUUCGAUCUUGCUGCCCUUCUCUCUGCAAAAGUAGAUUUGAGGGGGUUAUGGACGGCGACUUUCGAUCGAGUUCUACCGUUGCUGAUCCUUUGCUCUCUCUUCCAGGGGAUUCUUGGAGAGGAGCACCAACCCAAUCGCCCCACAGAGAGGAUUUCAGGUGUGGAGGAUUGGUUGUGACCAAGGCAGCAAGCUUAAAGAACAUUCUAAGGGCAUUGAAGGAGAAAAGAGGCAAAAUUUGUUUGGAAUACUUGCGAAGCUUGUCUGUGGACGAGAUCAAAGCUGAGCUAUCCAAGUUCAAGGGAAUAGGACCAAAAACGGGGAAAAAGAAUACUACGAGAAACAAUUUGCAACCCUGAGAUCCUUUGAGGAAGUUGACUCCUUGCAUACAAAAACCAUUGAUGAGGAUAAAGAUCUUGAAGAACAAGCACAGAGUGAAUUUUCCAUAAAGAUAUCUAACUAUGCAAACAUUGCUCUCUUGGCACUAAAGAUUUAUGCUUACUAUGCGAAGUGGUUCAAUAGCUAUUGCUGCAUCAACACAUGAUUCGUUACUGGAUCUUAUGGCUGGUGGAAUCCUCUUGUUUACAUAUUUGUCAAUGAAAAGCAUAAACAUAUACAAGUAUCCUAUUGGCAAGUUGCAUGUUCAGCCAGUUGGAAUUAUCAUAUUUGCUGCUGUUAUGGCUACUCUAGGAUUUCAGGUUUUUGUUCAAGCUCUUGAGCGUUUGAUUGAAAAUACACCCUCUAAAAAGAUGACCUCAACACAAUUGAUAUGGCUUUACUCAAGCAUGUUGACAGCCACAUUCACAAAGCUAGCUUUAUGGCUUUACUGCAGAACCUCAGGAAACAAUAUUGUUCGUGCCUAUGGACCAUUAUUUUGAUGUCAUCACCAAUGUUCUUGGCUUGACUGCUGCUAUUCUUGGUGAUAAAUACUACUGGUGGAUUGACCCUGCUGGAGUUAUCAUUCUUGCAAUAUAUACAAUUACGAAUUGGUCAGGAACUGUGGGAGAAUGAAUUCUAUUGGCUAUAGCACUAGUAAUAUUCAAAUUAGUUAACUUUUUAUUGCAUUGGAUAAUUGAUUAAAUAUUUUCUUUGAUCUUCCUCUACACUUUUACCUUCCACUCAAAUUGUUAACUCUUCUAACUUAAAAGGAAUAAUGAUUACACGAGACUCUACAUUCUCCUAAUUAUUUAAUUCGUUAGCAUAAUUAUUUAGGUUGCUUUAUUUGUCUUUCAUUCUGGUCUUGCUUGACUAUUGGUUUGCACAUCAUAUGUUUUUCACAAACUGAUGAAGGUGUAAAAAUAAUAUUUUUUUGGUGGAGAAUGGUAGGAACUCUGGGAAUUAAGGGGAAAAAUGGUUCAUAUCUCAAUUUCUUGACUCUUGUGUAUGCAUUAUCUUAUGUAUGUGAAGCACUACGUUUUGUAAGCAGUAAGAAUUGAACCUUCUAUGAUAUGUUCAACUUGUUAGCAAAAAUUGAUGACUUAAUGUACUUGCAUAGAUGCAUUCCAUUGAGGUGGAAAAUUUUUCUUUACAACCCUUGAAGAAGUAGAGAGGAGACUGGAGAAGAAGAUUUUCUGAUACUGAUAAGAGAACUACUAUACAUAACUUGGCUUUCACUGUAUGCAUUUGCCACUUCUUGACAUGUGUAUGUCCUUGUAGAUGAGGCAACAGGGUGAUCUGCAAUACUUUAGAUCAGCUCUUUGUGUAGUAUGCAAACCAAACGUCAAAGAUGCUACAACUCUUUGUGGGAGAGUGAAUAGCUGGAUAUGUAUCAAUUUUGCAAAGAAUGUGCAAGAUAAUUUGGCUAGGGGAUUUUGUCAUGAGCUUGCUCAGAUGUGCCAGAUAUCAGAAAUGAUCCUGUGCUUCAUCCUCUAACUGCUCGGCCUGAUCAUGUUGAAAGAGCGCUUUAUAUAUCAUUCAGAAAAGGGAGAAAGCUGGGUUUGUAGAAAAAGGACCGGUACAUGAAGAAUGUUGCACAUCGAUCCUGACUUGAUCUAUUCAGAAAAAGGACAAGUUAAUUUGCAUGGUUGUGGUCUGAUAAACUUAAUUUUAUGGUCUCAUUUUUUGUGGUUGCUGUCAUGAUUGGAUACUACUUGUGGUCAUGUUUGGAUAGCUUGUAGUAAUUGUAGAAGUUUAUAAACUUAACUUAAGUGAAUGUACAUAUUUGUUGUACCAGUUUUUGGUUAAGACAAGAUGUAUAAAAGACAAAUGAAUGUAUAUAUAUUGAAAAUAGUUUUUAUGAUUAA